rnacentral:misc_RNA from 1 species
UUUCCGUAGGUGAACCUGCGGAAGGAUCAUCAACAAAUCCAACCCCAAACAAACCACACCCAAUUUAUGUGAACCAAAAAAACCUUUUUUUCACCCCAAAAUUAUCUCGUACAUCGAGCCUAAGUUUAGAUGACGUUUUUUUUUCUUUUUUCUUUUUCUUUUUCCUUCGGGGGAAAAAAAAAGGGAAGAAAAAAAAAGUUUAAUCUUAAAAAUAAAAAAUUAAGACACAACUUUUAACAACGGAUCUCUUGGCUCUCGCAUCGAAGAAGAACGCAGC